CAGCGAUACAUUCAACUGUUCGGAGUGCACUCGACAAUCAGUUUUAUUCGAGACAUCAUUUGCGGAAGUUGUAUUUCAUUGACAAUUUGGUUUAAUUCAAAUAUCACAUUUCUAUCUAGUCUAGUCACACCAAUCAGUUCAAUCGAAAAAAAAUUUAAAAACAAAAACACUCUAUGGUUGAAUUUACAUUUUAAGCACCUUAGAUGCACAAUAUUCCAACGAGAACCGUAGAUUUGGGAAUUUUUGGCCUUUGGGAAGUUUAAAAGGCUUGUGGCAUCGAUACUUGUACUCAUCAUUUUGUAUAGAUUUUUCGGAUUCGAUAAUGUCGAGAAAGAUUCGAAAAACUUUCGCAAAACCCGGAAAGUUAUUUAUAAAAGGCGCAUUGAACUGAUGAAUGCAAAGCAGAACAACGUGAAAGCAUUCGUCUAUUUGAUGAAGCCGACCAAAGAGAUGUUGCAAAAAUGCAAGAAUUAUUAUGAAUUCUUCAAAGAUUGAGCGAUAAAACAUUAAGAAUCUCUUUUUUGUUCAAAACUAGGAACGUUAGAAUUUUUGAUUAAAUGCAUUUUUAUAAAUAAAUCAAAAGAAAGCAUGAAAUAAAGUGUAUAUGA